rnacentral:rRNA from 1 species
AGUGAACGCUGGCGGUAGGCCUAACACAUGCAAGUCGAACGGCAGCACAGUAAGAGCUUGCUCUUACGGGUGGCGAGUGGCGGACGGGUGAGGAAUACAUCGGAAUCUACUUUUUCGUGGGGGAUAACGUAGGGAAACUUACGCUAAUACCGCAUACGACCUACGGGUGAAAGCAGGGGAUCUUCGGACCUUGCGCGAUUGAAUGAGCCGAUGUCGGAUUAGCUAGUUGGCGGGGUAAAGGCCCACCAAGGCGACGAUCCGUAGCUGGUCUGAGAGGAUGAUCAGCCACACUGGGACUGAGACACGGUCCAGACUCCUACGGGAGGCAGCAGUGGGGAAUAUUGGACAAUGGGGGCAAGCCUGAUCCAGCCAUGCCGCGUGAGUGAAGAAGGCCUUCGGGUUGUAAAGCCCUUUUGUUGGGGAAGAAAAGCUGUGGGCUAAUACCCCGCUGUUCUGACGGUACCGGAAGAAUAAGCACCGGCUAACUUCGUG